AGUAACUGACAGGACAGAGACAAACAGAGAGUCAUGGUGUUGGGACAGAAAGUUUGACAAGAUGUGAGUUUGUGUAUGCUGUGUUUGAACCAAAUGCACUGUAACACAUUCAACAGACCAAAACUGAUAAAGAGAGAGAGAAAAAAAACAGCUUGAGAAAAAGAGAAGAGUGGGAGGAAGACAGGGAGAGUAUCGCCUUGGCUCUACACAGUGAUGAAUCUCCAGCGAGGCCUGUUUCAUUACCCGUCUGCCAGAGUGGAGAUCAGCCGAGGUUCCCUUCUCAAAUCGCCUGUCCCUGCUCCCCAGCCUCCAAUAUCUCCAAGCUCUCCUGGCCUCACCGUCCCCCACCUGAGGUCCCUCUCUGAACAUCAAACAGUCCGCCGCAGAGAUGGAUGUGGACAUCUAACAACUGGAUAGCCUGUUCACUCCUGUGAGGAGGUGAUGGCUGCUGAAAGCAAUCUGGCGGCCCAGGACUUUUGAAUCAAUACUGAAGGACGGCAGCACAGUCAGCUAACUCUGCACACUGACAGCUGAAAGAGUAAAGAGAGAGAAAGUGUUUGUCACUGUCUGGAUGGAAAGAUCACCGGGAUUACCAGCAGUUGGAUCUAACAACUAAAGACACUGUCUGUCUUAUCUGUCAGACUGACAGAGGUAUCUUGGACUGAAUGAGAAAUAGGUAAUAAUUCAUAGAUCUGUUACCAAGGACCUAAAAAUAUAUCUUGCGUUUGACGGAAAUGAUACACUCAGGAAAUAUCCACUUCAAUGACAGGGCAGCUAAGGGGUUAAUUUUGGGUCCAGUCUUUUAAACUUAUAUCCUUUUCAAAUGCCCCGCAGCAAGACACUGAAUCCCUAAGUGCUGCCCGGGUCCAUAGUAAAACCUGUGCUUCAAUUAUUAAGUAGUCAUUAAUACAAAGGAGUAUCAAGCUUUUUAUUUAACAAAGUGCAAACCACUCUCCCAAUUCCUUUAAAAAUCCCUCACUACAGCAUGAUUUUGUUGGACUCAGGUGCCUUUAUGUGUUGUCCAGAGUUUUAUUCUCGUGUCUAUGUUGUUGUUGUUUUUGUGUUGUCUUGGGAGUUGCUCGGUAAACGCAGUCAAAUCAUCAUAAGAACAAGUUGAUGAAAGUUCAUUGGGUCAUUUUUCUGAAUGUAUAACAGCUGACUAUGAGUAAAAUGUUUUGAUGUUUAUGUUUGACUAGCCAAGAAACAAAACCGCACAAACACUAAAAGAGUUUCAAACUCAACAUUGUAAAUACUGAUGCCAUUACAGAGCCUCAAAUCUUUAAUGAUUCAACUAUUGAUACUUUUCAUACUUUUACAAUUACAAAGUAUAAAGACAAGACAACAUGCACUUUUUUACAGGACUGGUACUGCUUUUACGGAUGACAAUUUAUUUACCUUCGCCUAAUACUUAUUUUACCAACCUGACCUUGAUGUAACCAAAUGUCACCUUGUUUAGAUAUUUUGAUAGCUUUUAUCCUGCUGAUCUCAACACUGGACUACUAUUUGUAACAAGAUUUGCAACUCAAGUUUUUCAAUCUGAAGACAGUCAAAGGUAUCCUUCUGCAUUUUGGUUUAAUUUGAUGCACAAUGCUGAUGUGCUUGGCCAUAGAGGUUGUGUUCCCCCUAAUAAAACAAUAU